AUUAUCACUACAUAGUAUAAAACAAAGUCACUUUCUCUGUCCCUAUGUCCCUUUGUACGCUUAAAUCUUUAAAACUACGCAACGGAUUUUGAUGCGGUUUUUUCAAUAGAUAGAGUGAUUCAAGAGGAAGGUUUAUAUGUAUAAUACAUGCAUAAUAUAUCACCAUUGCACCCAUGCGAAGCUGGGGCGGGUCGCUAGU